GGGCCCGCACAAGCGGAGGAACAUGUGGUUUAAUUCGAUGAUACGCGAGGAACCUUACCCGGGCUUGAAAUGCAUCUGACCGGCACAGAGACGUGCCUUCCCUUCGGGGCAGAUGUGUAGGUGCUGCAUGGUUGUCGUCAGCUCGUGCCGUGAGGUGUCGGCUUAAGUGCCAUAACGAGCGCAACCCUCAUUGUUAGUUACCAUCAGGUUAAGCUGGGGACUCUAACGAGACUGCCAUCGUAAGAUGUGAGGAAGGUGGGGAUGACGUCAAAUCAGCACGGCCCUUACGUCCGGGGCGACACACGUGUUACAAUGGGUGGUACAAAGGGCAGCUACAUGGCGACAUGAUGCUAAUCCCUAAAACCACUCUCAGUUCGGAUCGAAGUCUGCAACUCGACUUCGUGAAGCUGGAUUCGCUAGUAAUCGCGCAUCAGCCACGGCGCGGUGAAUACGUUCCCGGGCCUU
rnacentral:rRNA from 1 species